rnacentral:lncRNA from 1 species
CCCAGGGCGUGAACGGGGCGUGUCAUCCCUGGAGUUUCAGUAGAAUUUCAGGCCUGUCUGCUUGAGCAGCAGAGGAGGAGUUUCUGUGUGCCUGUGAGAGACUGUGUGUGUGUGUGUGUGUGUGUGUGUGUGUGAGAUGAAUGAACAGGGUUGUGUACGUGUGUGUGCGUUAGACAAAUGAACAGUGUUGUGUACCUGUGUGAAUUGUCACUGUGACUCCAGGCUCUAGGCUCUGCAGAUUCCUCAGCCCUAUCGCCUCACAGACACUUGGGAUGUGCAGCAGGUAAAAGAGAGAAGCCAGAUUCAUGGAGGCGUGAAGGAUCCCAGCAAGAAAACACAGACUUGAUCUUGAGACGAGAUUUUUGAAAUUGGUUGCGGCCUCAAGGCAGGCUCUGAGAAGACUCGAUAAAGAGUUCUCAGGAAUAGGCAUCCCUCCUGGAUAUUUCCCCCUUGGAAGCGCCGAGGAGCCAGCUCUAUGUUUGUAACCAUAGCAUUUCUAAAGCUCCAGCCCCAGGAACCUGCUGUGAAUUAGAGACAGAUUCCACCCUAGGCAUCACUGAUCUUGGCCUCUCUUGUAUUGGGAAGGUCAACACUGUUCCAGUUUCUCUCCUACUCCCAUCUGGUUGUGCUCGGUGAAGUAGGUGAGCAGGUAUGAUCAUUGAGGGUAUUUUCUAAGUUACUGUGCUAUCCAAGAAACCCCAGCUGUCUCAUGAUUGCCUUCUCUUUUCCAGUGCUACCCUUCUGUUAAAAAAAAAAAAAAAAAAAAGAUCCUGAAAGAGGAAAGAAUUUUUGCUACACAUCUGAAAGCUAAAGUCCAGGUGAUGCCUUGAUUACCUAGCUUUGGCUUCUCUGAACUCUGC